rnacentral:rRNA from 1 species
AAACACAGCACUGUGCAAACACGAAAGUGGACGUAUACGGUGUGACGCCUGCCCGGUGCUGGAAGGUUAAUUGAUGGGGUUAUCCGUAAGGAGAAGCUCUUGAUCGAAGCCCCAGUAAACGGCGGCCGUAACUAUAACGGUCCUAAGGUAGCGAAAUUCCUUGUCGGGUAAGUUCCGACCUGCACGAAUGGCGUAAUGAUGGCCAGGCUGUCUCCACCCGAGACUCAGUGAAAUUGAACUCGCUGUGAAGAUGCAGUGUACCCGCGGCAAGACGGAAAGACCCCGUGAACCUUUACUAUAGCUUGACACUGAACAUUGAGCCUUGAUGUGUAGGAUAGGUGGGAGGCUUUGAAGUGUGGACGCCAGUCUGCAUGGAGCCAACCUUGAAAUACCACCCUUUAAUGUUUGAUGUUCUAACGUUGCCCCGUUAUCCGGGGUGCGGACAGUGUCUGGUGGGUAGUUUGACUGGGGCGGUCUCCUCCCAAAGAGUAACGGAGGAGCACGAAGGUUGGCUAAGCAUGGUCGGACAUCAUGCGGUUAGUGCAAAGGCAUAAGCCAGCUUGACUGCGAGAGUGACGGCUCGAGCAGGUACGAAAGUAGGUCUUAGUGAUCCGGUGGUUCUGAAUGGAAGGGCCAUCGCUCAACGGAUAAAAGGUACUCCGGGGAUAACAGGCUGAUACCGCCCAAGAGUUCAUAUCGACGGCGGUGUUUGGCACCUCGAUGUCGGCUCAUCACAUCCUGGGGCUGAAGUAGGUCCCAAGGGUACGGCUGUUCGCCGUUUAAAGUGGUACGCGAGCUGGGUUUAGAACGUCGUGAGACAGUUCGGUCCCUAUCUGCCGUGGGCGUU